rnacentral:rRNA from 1 species
CACGUAGGGUGCGAGCGUUGUCCGGAAUUAUUGGGCGUAAAGAGCUCGUAGGCGGUGUGUCGCGUCGGCCGUGAAAACCUGCAGCUUAACUGUGAGCUUGCGGUCGAUACGGGCAUCACUGGAGUUCGGCAGGGGAGACUGGAAUUCCUGGUGUAGCGGUGAAAUGCGCAGAUAUCAGGAAGAACACCAACGGCGAAGGCAGCUCGCUAGGACGGUACUGACGCUGAGACGCGAAAGCGUGGGGAGCGAACAGG